ACGCAUCUCCAGGCAGCCCGCCCCCUCGCAACAUCCGUCACCUGACCCUGCCAUAUCAGGAACCGCCGCGGUCCAGCUCGCGUCCCUGCUUCCCUGUCCCCCUUCCUUUAUUCCUCGCUCCCCACGCUGGGGAUUCUUCCUUUCUCCAAACCGGAUUAUUUAAAAGAGAAAAAGAAAGAAAAAAAAAAGCAAAUUUAUCUCAUGGGUCUAUCCGCCAUUCAGGAGGCUGGAUGUCAGUUUUUAAAGAAAUGGCGCUAUACUCCACUUCUCGAUUUGGGAAACGAGCGAAAUUAAAGGAAACUGCUGCGACAUCUGGACACUGCGUGGCGCUGGCGCCGCUGGAGCGGCGGGCCCCGCGCCGGACCAGGACUCCCUCAGAAUUUACGGAACAUCCAGGCUCCAUGCUGAGGCUGCUUGCCGCUCCCCUGUGACAGAAUGAAUGCGCUUUCUGGCUCUUCACAAGGCUAGCUCCUACUCCUUCAGGGCGCUUCUCAGGUAUAUCCGCCCCCCCCCGCCCCCCUCAGAGACUCUUCCUCCAGGCACCGUAUUUUUUUUCCCCUAAAGCACUUACCAUACAGAAGUUAUCAUUAGUAAUUGUUUACUUGUUUGUCUGUCAGUAGUUAGUAUGUAAACUCCGUGGAAGGCCGGUCUUGCUCUGUCUUGCACCACACCUAUGAUUCCCCUCCUCCACCACCACCCCCAAAAUAAACCUCAUAGGAGAGAGAUGGACUAGUAAAAACAUACAAUUAUAGUGAGGGGAUUUCAUUUUAUGGCAAACAGAAGAGGGGUACUUUAGGAGGUGGGGGAUCAGAGAAAGCAUCCUAGAGGGGAAAUGCUGCCCAGUUUCAGCACAGUAUCAUUUAAGGAUUCUGGAGAAGUGGAAGAGAGAAGGGUUUCCUGGACCCAGGCAGAGUUACUAGCUGUGGCAGUAAACCAUGGUGCGGGAGGGUGAGAAAACCUGUAUUACACAUUUCUUGAAAUUAUUAGUCAGGGUUCUCUAGAGACAAAACCAAUUGUGUGUGUGUGUGUGUGCGUGCGCACACGCGCUUGUAUGAUUUAUUUUAAGGAAUUGGCUUACCCAGUUGUGGGGCUGGCAAGUCUGAAGUCUGCAAGACAAGUAGGCAGGCUGGAGACCCAUGGAGGAGUUGAUGUUGCAGUUUUGAGUCAGAAGGCAGCCUGGAGACAGAAUUCUUUCUUCCUUGGGCAACCUCUUUUCACUUAAGGCCUUCAACUAAUUGGAUGAGGCCCACACAGAUUAUGGAGGAUAAUCUGCUUUAUUUAAAGUCUAUGGAUUUAAAUGUUAAUUAUAUCUAAAAAAUACCUUUACAGCAAUAACUUGACUGGUGUUUGACCAAACAAUUGGGUACCACAGCCUAGCCAAGUUGACACAUAAAAUUAAACCUCACAUUAUCCUAUUAUGCCUGAAAGGUCUGCUGAGCCUCAGUUUCCCAACCAAGUUUACAUUCUGUGAUCUUUCUGUAUUGAUUGGGCCUGUAUAGCUUAACCUAUAACCAUUUCCUCUCCGCCCAAACUUGUUCUGGGGAUAAGGGUAGUUACCCACUUCAGAGGAAUGCCAUUUGAGUAAGAGCACUGAGUAAGAUGACUAUACAGUAAGCUCUGUGUUCAAUGAAUAUAAAAUUUAAAACUUAAACUUAAAUUCCAUCUUGGUUUUCCCCUGCUACCCAACACCUGUGUUUUGUUAGUUGUGGUAUGCAGGGGAAUUCUAUCUAAUUUUAAUAUUAGACUAAGCAAAAUACAAUUAUGAAGAUGAAUCUUUAGCAACACAACUAAUUUGUGGCAUUCCAAACACGUUUGGAAUUCCAGAUGACUUUGGCUUUGUGUUCUUCAAGAAGAGUAUGAUCGAGAGCUGAUCAGUGUUAUUUGUGCACACUUUCACUUGUAUUACUUAUCCUCACAGCGGCUCUUUGAAUUUGGGAUUACUACCCUACUUUACAGGUGAGAAGACUGAGACCUAGAGGCACUCAAAUCUUAGAUACUUUAUAGCCAGCAAGUGUCAGGGCUGGAAUCAUUAAGAAGGUCUUUGGACUGAAAGCCUUGUGCCCUUUCUAUUGUGCUAAACAGAGUCAAUAGGAAGUGAAAUAUUGAUGGGUCAUUUUUGCAGAAAGAGGAUCAUUGAAUGUCAGAGCUUUUAUUUGCUCUCUUCCUUUGGCCUAAAAACUGACUUGGCAGCUGAGUUUUUGAAUGGAGGAAAAUUAUUUUCUAUUUUUUAAAAUGAUUUUCUAUUUUGGAUCAGCAAAUUCAUCCCACAGGCAGAGAUAGGAGAGGGCAUUUUACUAAUACCUUGUCUGUGCCAUGCCACCCAACUACCCUCUAGCUGUGAUGUCCUAGGACACCAGCUUUUUCCCUCAGGUAUCUCUUGAUUAUCAAAAUUCUGUGAGAAACUUCCCUAAUAUUGCACAUGCUCAAACUACAAACCCCAAAGGUAUAAGACACAAAACACUAGAAGAUUUUAAAACUAUUAUUUGAACACAUAUAAAAUAUUAACUUCUAGAAUAUAUAAAUACAUAAAUGAGUAAAAAAACAACCCAGUAGAAAAGUUAGCAAAUAAUAUAAUGGGCAGUUUAGAGUAGAGGAUAUUCAAAUAGUCAAAUGGUUAAAAAAUUAUGAAAAUAUAUUCAAUUUUACUGGUUAGUAAAGAAAUGUAACAAAAACACUGACAUAUACCUACAGGUGUGGCAAAAAUAAAAAGAGUGAUAACAUUGGCAAAGUUGUCAGAAAACAAUCUUCUUACAUACUAUUGUAACUUGGUACAUUCAUUUUGGAAGGCAACUUUACAGUAUUUAUUAAAACUGUAUGUGCAUAUACAUACCCUUUGACUCAGCAAUUCCACUGAGUUUAUGUAUGCAAAUAUACACAUACAUAAAUAGAUGUAUGGAAAUAUGUAUA
rnacentral:lncRNA from 1 species